UAAACUCGCACUCGCCUCACACCCGAGCUUAUAAAAACAAAAAUAACAAAUAAAAUUCACGCGGUGUAACGAACCGGCUCGAGCGAGUUGGGGUACUAGAAGGAGCCGAGGAGAACAAACAAAAACAAAAAACUAGUCGGGCAACUCGUCAACAGUUCAGGUGAGCGGCGAAAAAAGCAAACGUGAAAGGUUUGAAAAGCAAAAACAAGAACAAAACCAAAACACGAAAUAAUAACUAAAAGUCAAGUAUUGAAACUGAAAAAAACAAAGCUCUUUAUGAGCACAUGAACAAGUAAUUGGCCGAAGUGAGCGCCUAAUGGCCACAUGUGAUCGGUGACGCCGUCGACAGAGUAAAUAUUGCAAUUCAGAAGUAUUCGGCAAAUUCUGAUACACACCUCACACCGUUCGCGCUUAUCGGGCGUGCUCGGAGCAGCUGCUUAAAUAUCUCAUUUCAUGCUAAAGUAAACAACACAUCGCCUGCCUCACCUAGUCUCCUCCCACCCCGCAACAGUGCUGGAGCAGCAGGAGUACGGGAGGGAGUUUGCUCUUGUGAAAUGUGCGACAUUAGCACGUUUCAUCCAGCCCGAAGCAAAAGCCGCGCAAGUGUUUACACUUUAAAGUAAAUAGAAAUAUGAACACACACACACACACAUAGCUGUUGUGACGUUAGCGAAGGCAACUGCCACUUCUCGUGUUGCCACAUAACGCGUUUCGAAUUACAUAAAAGUGAAGCAACAGAUGGUCCACCGCAUUCCAAGCCAGUGUGUGAGUAUGUGAGCACGUUUCUUCAGAUGACGUGUGCAUUCUGAAGCUUAGAGCUGGCAGCAGCAGGCGGCGAGAAAUCAAGAGCAUUUAGCAAGAGCCAGCGCAACUGUCAAGCCAAAUCCGUGCUGCUUUGGCGAAUUGUGUCACAACUUGUUUGUGUUCGCACCAAACUCACUUAAUAAGGAAUUAAUAGAUAUGUUUGAAUAAAGACACUUGCGGAAUAA